rnacentral:rRNA from 1 species
GACGAACGCUGGCGGCGUGCUUAACACAUGCAAGUCGAACGGUGAAGCGCCUUCCUUUUUGGUGGGUGUGGAUGAGUGGCGAACGGGUGAGUAACACGUGAGUAACCUGCCCCCUUCUUCUGGAUAACCGCAUGAAAGUGUGGCUAACACGGGAUAUUCUGGGUCUGUCGCAUGAUGGGUCUGGGAAAGAUAUUGUUUCGGUGGGGGAUGGGCUCGCGGCCUAUCAGCUUGUUGGUGGGGUGAUGGCCUACCAAGGCGGUGACGGGUAGCCGGCCUGAGGGGGUGGACGGUCACACUGGGACUGAGACACGGCCCAGACUCCUACGGGAGGCAGCAGUGGGGAAUAUUGCACAAUGGGCGCAAGCCUGAUGCAGCGACGCCGCGUGAGGGAUGGAGGCCUUCGGGUUGUGAACCUCUUUCGCCAGUGAAGCAGGCCUGCCUCGUUUGUGGGUGGGUUGACGGUAGCUGGAUAAGAAGCGCCGGCUAACUACGUG